ACAUUCAAACAAAGAGUAAUACCCAAAGAAGCCAGCAACUCUAUUUGAACAGAUCUUACUUUCCAAAUGAAAGCAAAACUCAUCACUUCCCAGGUUAGAACAGCUGAGACCCAUCAACCAACGGAAAACAAUUUGUUCGGAGUAGAAGCUGUCACAGGCUAUUACCACGUGGAACGUGAAGAGCCAUUGCAGACCUCCGCUCCCCGAUUCGGGCAGGCCUGCUCCCAUCUCACUUGACAGCUGUGGACAUUGGAAUAAUACAAAACAUAACCUAAUCAACAGACUGUGAAAAAUCUGAAAGCUAAAGACAGAUGUUCUGCUGCCAUCACUACCUUUCAUAGUUAAUUAUAUUUAUAUGGGGGGAAAACAAGUGAUAAGUCAACUCCUUUAAGAAGGCCUCCUUUCCUAUUAAUGGUGGCACUGUCAUUGUCUUGGGCUUACAAUCAAGUCAUCAUACCUGCCAAGUGAUGAUGAAAUUGAGCAUUUUUCAUGCUCACUAAGGAGGAAGAAGAACCCCAACAAGAGAGCAGAAAGCAGCAGACAAGUCCCGGAGUUCUUGGGAGUUGGGAUAAAGUAACAACAAAGGGGGAAUGAAAAAACUGUCCACAGUUCAAAAUCUGAAGGAAAUUCUAUUCCUUUAACAGUAUCCAGCUGUCCCCUGGGAGCCAUUUCCUGGUGACUCCUGAGAAGCUUCAUUGAACUUGGUCCAGCACAUUACCUGGCACAUGGGCAGAGAUCAAAGACUCUUAAGUGAAUAAAGAAAAGCAAGUCCUAGGAUCAGGUUUGCACUAAUGUUUCUGGGGAUCCUAAAGAAGUGGACAAGCCAACCCAUCCAAGGGCACCAAGCAAGUCAAGCAAGACUUUUCUGGAUACUUAUGUAUGCAGCCUCAAACCAGGUGCUAAGUCUGUAUUAAGAUAAGUCUAGAGGAGGCAGAUGUUAGGUAUCUGUCCUCAAAAUUCAGAAUCUGAUCUGGUUCCAUCUUCAAAAGCAUUUCUUAUAUGUUAUACCAAGCCACCAAUGAUGUAAAUAAAACAUUCAGGUUUCUUGCAGAAAUGUUACUCCACUAUUCUUCAUGCAAUAAUGCAGCACUCUGUAACAAGCUUUAUA